GACGAACGCUGGCGGCGUGCUUAACACAUGCAAGUCGAACGGAAAGGCCCUGCUUUUGUGGGGUGCUCGAGUGGCGAACGGGUGAGUAACACGUGAGUAACCUGCCCUUGACUUUGGGAUAACUUCAGGAAACUGGGGCUAAUACCGGAUAGGAGCUCCUGCUGCAUGGUGGGGGUUGGAAAGUUUCGGCGGUUGGGGAUGGACUCGCGGCUUUCAGCUUGUUGGUGGGGUAGUGGCUUACCAAGGCUUUGACGGGUAGCCGGCCUGAGAGGGUGACCGGCCACAUUGGGACUGAGAUACGGCCCAGACUCCGACGGGAGGCAGCAGUGGGGAAUAUUGCACAAUGGGCGGAAGCCUGAUGCAGAAACGCCGCGUGCGGGAUGACGGCCUUCGGGUUGUAAACCGCUUUCGCCUGUGACGAAGCGUGAGUGACGGUAAUGGGUAAAGAAGCACCGGCUAACUACGUG
rnacentral:rRNA from 1 species